rnacentral:ncRNA from 1 species
AGGAUGCAGGAGAGACCGGUAAAUCCGGCGCCGAAGAAGAACUGCGGAAAAACUUUCAGGCAGAAGGACUGCAUU